rnacentral:rRNA from 1 species
CUGGAGUUGCUAGUAAUCGCGAAUCAGCAUGUCGCGGUGAAUACGUUCCCGGGCCUUGUACACACCGCCCGUCACACCAUGAGAGUUGGCAAUACCCAACGUACGUGAUCUAACCCGCAAGGGAGGAAGCGUCCUAAGGUAGGGUCAGCGAUUGGGGUGAAGUCGUAACAAGGUACC